ACACGUGGCGGGUGGAAGGCUCCGCUGUGUCUAACCCUAAUCGGAGGUAUUGAUGGUACUGUCGCCGCGCUCCCUCCGCCCGCUGUUUACUCGCUGACUUUCAGCGGGCUAGGGGAGCCGCCCCAGGGGGCGCCGCGGCGGGGAGGGGGUGGGGCGGACGCGGGAGAAAGGACCGAAAGGGGCUCCACGGCAAACAAAAAAAAAAACGUCAGCGAGGGGUCCUCUCGCCCCCAUCCGCCCUGGGGUCCUCGCCCGCAGGCCGCGGUCGGCCGGCACCCGCCAUUGCCGCCGCGAAGAGUUCGCCUCUGUCAGCCUCGGCGGCGCCCGGGAGAUGCGGCGCGCGGCCCCGCGCCCCCAGCAGAGCAACACGGGGCGGCGCCCCCGGGGCAACCCCCGCGCCCCCCUGCGCCGUGGGGCGCGCGGACGGCGUCGCUCCCACACGC
rfam:Gallid herpesvirus 2 strain RB-1B, complete genome.